rnacentral:rRNA from 1 species
UACGGGGGGGGCAAGCGUUGUUCGGAAUUACUGGGCGUAAAGGGCUCGUAGGUGGCCAACUAAGUCGGACGUGAAAUCCCUCGGCUUAACCGGGGGACUGCGUCUGAUACUGGAUGGCUUGAGUUCGGGAGAGGGAUGCGGAAUUCCAGGUGUAGCGGUGAAAUGCGUAGAUAUCUGGAGGAACACCGGUGGCGAAGGCGGCAUCCUGGACCGACACUGACGCUGAGGAGCGAAAGCCAGGGGAGCAAACGGG